UGAGAUGGUGUGAGGUGGGUGGCGUGGGUGAGACUAAAAAAAAAAGCAUUGGGAGAGGCAGAAGCCUCUUACCAGUGGCUCUGAGCUGGUUCUGCUGGGCGAGCUCGCCCUCAUGCUGAGGGAGCCGCUGGGCCCACAUGGCCUUCGCUACAGUGUGGCUGAGCCCUGCAGAGCUCUGUGACCUCGGAGACACUCCAUCCUGCCCAGAGCACAGUGUGGCCAGAUGUUCCCAGGUGGAAUGGGUCUGGCAGAACCUUCAGCUGCCAGGGAGUGAAAUCCAGCAGGAGGCCCUGCACCCUCAAUGUCAGGAGUGGGGUGCUGCUGGCUGUUUGGGGGUCUGCUCAACUGUGGGUGUUGCUGAGUUUCCUGAGCAUUUCUCUUCCCCGCACAUGGGUUUCUGUCUUCACUGCCCUGGGUUCCUUAGAGUUAGAGACUGACGGGAGGACAGCAGGAUGGCUGGCGGCGUGGUCAGGGCAUGUGUGCGCUCCCAUGGUGGCUGUGCCAGCCCACUGGAGGGGAGCUGUGCUGGGGGGAGUCCCAGGGAAGCCGCGUCUGCCGGCCGAGCUGCCGCUGGGCUGAGGGCCUGGGGACGAGGCCCCCGGCUUUGCUGGAGGAGCCUGCUAUCCGCUUGGCAACUGUUUGCUGAGCAUUGAAGCCCUGGUCCUUCCAAGAUGCCAGGCCACUGUGCCUGUUUUCACACCCUUUGCUUUUGCUCUUUGUCCAUACACAAAUGCUGUUUCCACUUCCUCCCUCCUAUCUGCAUAGAAAAAGUAGUGCCUUUAUGCCUGAGUAGAAAGUGGCUCAUUUUGAAUCAGGGCUGUGUGCUGAGGGGGGCUUGGCUUGGUGUUGCUUUGAGACCUGAAGGAGGAACACAAGGGGUGCCUGAGGAAGGUGCACUUGGGGCCUGCAGGGAGAGGCCAGUGCAGCCCUGAAGCCAACUCGUGGGCCCACAGCCUCCCCGGGUCCCUGGAGACGGACUUUCAGCCAGCACACUGGUCCACCAUGCUCCCUCCUCCUGCAGCCGCGGCUCACAGGCUGUCUCUGAGCUGAGGGGAGGCCAGUGUCUGCCAGAAGCCACUUCCUGGGAGUUCUUCCACCAAUACUGGUUCCCAUGGCAAUUCGAGGGAAGCAGGAGGGGCAGAGGAGCAGACGGCACUGAGCGCGAGCGCGGAGAUGGUGCAGAGCACUAGCGUGGAGAUGGUGCAGAGCAUGACGGCGGCUGGGCACCCGCCUCCUGCAGCAGCUCCCACCCCUUCGGUGGCCCAGCCACUGCCCUGGGUCCCUGGAGGUCGGCCCAGGAGUCCUGCCCUGCAGCUGCAUCGGUCACAAGUCUGGCCCAUCUCAGGCAGAACACGAGGUUUUGCCUGCUCUGCCAUGUGGAUGGGCCCCUUGGCCAAGCUCAGGUCUUGAGGCAUGAAUUGUCCAAAUGUUAGGACUUGAGAGACUCUGAAAGGCUCAAUUAUUUGAAAAAUUAUUUUGCAGCAGCCCGUUGGCAUUGGAAACUCUCUCCUGACUGUCUCCCUGUGCUUUGGGGACUAUACAGGGCUAGACAACAGCUGCAGUGCGUGGCAGGAACCCCUCGUUGGCAGGUGAUGGCCCCUGAGAGUACACAGGUCAUCAGACUAGCACAGCGUUAGCUUGGUGAGCCCAGGGACGUGGGAGAGGCGGCUCUCAGUUGGAAGGCAGAGGAGGGUCAGUGAAGGCUGAGGACCAAGAGUUGCCUGGGAUGGGUGGGGUGGGUCCCUGAGCAUUUGGGACCAGCACGAGCAUUUUCAGCACUUGGGAAAGAGUCACUCAGAAACUCAUCUGUGGGACGUUUGUCACAGGCAGGUCUUACCUGGUUGGUAAGACCACCGCUGGGCUCUCAGGCCUUGCAUCUCACUCUCUGCACUUUUCUUUCAAGUGUGGGAACGCCAAAGCUCUGAGGGCCCAUUCCUGAAAGUUUACCUGCUGAUUCACAUGGAAGGCUGGCCUCCGAGUCCACUGGCCCUGCCAUCUUUCUUAACAAGGAGGGCACUGCACACCAGCAGGCUCCGACUUAUCACCCAGGAUGGCAUUCUAGGAGUUAAAUUCCACCCUGAGCACCUCCGUCACCUCCACAGCAUUGAAAUCCCACUGUGAGCACCUCUGUCACCUCCACAGCAUUGAAAUCCCACCGUGAGCACCUCUGUCACCUCCACAGCAUUGAAAUCCCACUGUGAGCACCUCCGUCACCUCCACAGCAUUGAAAUCCCACCGUGAGCACCUCUGUCACCUCCACAGCAGUUAAAUCCCACCGUGAGCACCUCCGUCACCUCCACAGCAGUUAAAUCCCACCGUGAGCACCUCCAUCACCUCCACAGCAUUGAAAUCCCACCGUGAGCACCUCCAUCACCUCCACAGCAUUGAAAUCCCACCGUGAGCACCUCCGUCACCUCCACAGCAGUUAAAUCCCACCCUGAGCACCUCCAUCACCUCCACAGCAUUGAAAUGCCACCGUGAGCACCUCCAUCACCUCCAUAGCAGUUAAAUCCCACCGUGAGCACCUCCAUCACCUCCACAGCAGUUAAAUCCCACCGUGAGCACCUCCAUCACCUCCACAGCAGUUAAAUCCCACCGUGAGCACCUUCAUCACCUCCAUAGCAGUUAAAUCCCACCGUGAGCACCUCCAUCACCUCCACAGCAGUUAAAUCCCACCGUGAGCACCUCCAUCACCUCCACAGCAGUUAAAUCCCACCGUGAGCACCUCCGUCACCUCCACAGCAUUGAAAUCCCACUGUGAGCACCUCUGUCACCUCCACAGCAUUGAAAUCCCACCGUGAGCACCUCUGUCACCUCCACAGCAUUGAAAUCCCACUGUGAGCACCUCUGUCACCUCCACAGCAGUUAAAUCCCACCGUGAGCACCUCCGUCACCUCCACAGCAGUUAAAUCCCACCCUGAGCACCUCCAUCACCUCCACAGCAUUGAAAUGCCACCGUGAGCACCUUCAUCACCUCCAUAGCAGUUAAAUCCCACCGUGAGCACCUCCAUCACCUCGACAGCAGUUAAAUCCCACCGUGAGCACCUCCAUCACCUCCACAGCAGUUAAAUUCCACCCUGAGCACCUCCAUCACCUCCACAGCAUUGAAAUGCCACCGUGAGCACCUCCAUCACCUCCAUAGCAGUUAAAUUCCACCGUGAGCACCUCCAUCACCUCCACAGCAGUUAAAUUCCACCGUGAGCACCUCUGUCACCUCCACAGCAGUUAAAUCCCACCGUGAGCACCUCCAUCACCUCCACAGCAGUUAAAUCCCACCGUGAGCACCUCCAUCACCUCCACAGCAUUGAAAUGCCACCGUGAGCACCUCCAUCACCUCCACAGCAGUUAAAUUCCACCGUGAGCACCUCUGUCACCUCCACAGCAGUUAAAUCCCACCGUGAGCACCUCCAUCACCUCCACAGCAGUUAAAUCCCACCGUGAGCACCUCCGUCACUUCCACAGCAGUUAAAUCCGCCGUUAGCACCUCCAUCACCUCCACAGCAGCUAAAUCCCACCGUGAGCACCUCCAUCACCUCCACAGCAGUUAAAUCCCACCGUGAGCACCUCCAUCACCUCCACAGCAGUUGGCUGCUUACCUAGUGAAGCUGGGGGCUAUGGGAGCAGCUGACUCUCGGCUAGUCCCUGCUUUGCAGUAUUUACUGUGUUGGCCAUAAUGCAGGUCUCCAUCCAUUAGGCACUGAUCUAGGUCAGGUGCCAGCAUCUCCAGCCCCGCCUAGGUGUUCCAUGCUAUUUCAUGGUAGCUGAGGUUGGCAAAAGGGAAAUGAGGAGAACUGGAGCUUGGAGUUCAGAACUGGGCUUCACAGCACCCUCUUGGCUACGUGCUUGUUUUGUAACUUUGGACGACUGAUUAACUUCUCAAAGCUCAGGAUGCCUUCUCUGUCAGAAGGGGACAAUAGUUAACUCCACGAGGCUGUGUCCGGAUCACAUGAAGUGGGAAUAUUUGGAUGUGAGAGCAGCAUUUAAAGUCUGAGUGGUCAGUAAGUUGCUGGCCGCUCUUGCUCACACAGGAUCUCCGUUGGCUUUGUACGGCCCAGGAAUGCCUGGAGUCAGAAAGCUGCUGUGCCAAACCCUCAUGCAGAAAUCUCUUCUCAGUGGUGUUCUUUACUUGGCUUUGAGCGGACAGGAGGGUUUCAUGGGGUUAGAAGCAUAGCAGCCAUCGCGGGUAAAGAACAGAGGCGAUGGGCAUGGCUCAUGCCUGUCAUCCCAGCUCUUUGGGAGGCUGGGGCAGGAGGGUCGCUUAAGUCCAGGAGUUUGAGACCAGGCUGGGCAACAUAGUGAGACCCCAUCUCCACAGAAAAAUUAAAAACCUUAGCCAGGUGUGGAGGUGCACCUGUAGUCCCACACAGCAGGCUGAGGUGGGGGGAUCUCUUGAGCCCAGGAGUUCCAGGCUGCAGUCGCCUGUGACCAUGCUUCUGCACUCCAGCUUGGGUGAUGGAGUGAGACCCCAUCUCUAAACAGUUUUUUAAAUAAAAGAGUGGGGAGGAUCUUGAGCUGGUAAGAUCACAACAUCAGGCCCUAAGACACCGCCUUGCAGUACUGCCACUCCUCACUGGCCUGUCUCCCGAGUCAAGACAAGGCCGCCUCACUAAUCAGAUACGAUGAUUCAUAUCACGCAAAGCCCACGGCUUACGGAGAGCACGUGAAGGCAGGGUCGGCGGCUGGGUUACCACAUCCUCUGGCAGGCAGCCUGGGAAGGGAGGUUUGAAUCUGUGUUGAUGUUUUAGCACUGAUUAAAGGUGCAUGUACAAUUUUACCUUUCAAAUUUAAAGACAGUUUGCACUCUAUCAACACCUUGUCUUAUUACACUUGCCAACCACGAGAAAGCAAGUUAAGAAGGAGAAGUCGUCGCAAAAGUCAUUACACAGUUUCCUCACGUGGUAUAAAGUGGUACAAAUAGAAAGUCCCAUCAGCUUCACAACCUUUGACUGACCAAAUGGCAUCCCCCAACUAAUGCUGCUGGCAGGAGCUUCAGCUGCCUCUGGCCUAAUGACGUCUGCCUUUCUAGUGAGAACGUAGCUGGUGUAGAUAUCUCAGUUUCACAGCGAUGAUUUGGGCCGAGCGCUCAUGUCAAAUAGGCACCUCGUUCCAGUGGUUUGUGGGGUUUGACGAUGCAUUUUUAAAAUGAAGCCGUGCCAGCGCCAGCCUGUGCUUCCCCACAGACAUUGCUGCUGUUCUGGUCGUCCUGGCGUGGGAGCUGUCCUGGCAUGGGAGCUGCCCUGGCGUGGGAGCUGUCCUGGCGUGGGAGCUGUCCUGGCGUGGGAGGUGUCCUGGCGUGGGAGCUGUCCUGGCGUGGGAGGUGUCCUGGUGGGAGAGCUGCUCUGGCGUGGGAGCUGUCCUGGUGUGGGAGCUGUCCUGGCGUGGGAGCUGUCCUGGUGGGAGAGCUGCCCUGGGGUGGGAGCUGUCCUGGCGUGGGAGCUGUCCUGGCGUGGGAGGUGUCCUGGUGGGAGAGCUGCCCUGGCGUGGGAGCUGUCCUGGUGGGAGAGCUGCCCUGGUGUGGGAGCUGUCCUGGCGUGGGAGCUGUCCUGGCAUGGGAGCUGUCCUGGCGUGGGAGGUGUCCUGGCGUGGGAGCUGUCCUGGCGUGGGAGGUGUCCUGGCGUGGGAGCUUCCCUGGCGUAGGAGCUGUCCUGGUGUGGAAGGUGUCCUGGCGUGGGAGCUGUCCUGGCGUGGAAUGUGUCCUGGCGUGGGAGCUGCCCUGGCAUGGGAGCUGCCCUGGCAUGGGAGCUGUCCUGGCGUGGGAGCUGCCCUGGCAUGGGAGGGGUGGCAGAGGUGCUGGGCCUGGGCCUCCUGUGCUUUGCACCGUACCUUGGCUGCCAUGAGCAUGAGCACCCCAUGGGGAGAGUGAGCUCAGCGCCCAGUGGGCCUCAUGGCACAGUCACUGAUAUUAUGUCGUGGCUUUCUCCUUCAUGUUGAAGGAGUGAUGGGGACAGUGAGGGAUGGAGUCCCCACACUCCAGCCUGCCCUGCUCAGUCACAGGCUCUGGCACGGGCCACUCUCCCCCAGGGACUGGACAGCCUGGGCGUCCACCCUGGCCCCCAGCUCUCCUCCAGCCCAGGGUGCCUGCCUUCCUCCCUCCUUUCCCCAUACCUAAGGGAGACCUGUGGGGAUCGCUCCUGUGUGAGGCCCCUAGGAAAUGGGCCUCGCCAUACGGUGAGCUUGAGCCCAGACACAGAUCCCCAGUUGGGGGAGUCGAGCUGAGGGAAAGCAGGAACCAAGAGAGGGACUAUGUUAUUCUAAAUAAUUAACAGACAUUACUUUAUGGAUAUGAGGACUUGGGAGGCAUUGUGUCUACUUUCGGCUUGUUAUGGUUUAUUUCUUGAUUGUGUUCAUUUUGGACCUGUGUUACUUACUUACCGUAACUUACAGGGCGUAACUGUAACUUACUUACCAUGGCUUACAGGGCGUGACUGUAAUCUACUUACCUUGACCUGUUGGGCGUAACCUACUUACUGGAAGUAACCUACUUACUGUGCUUAACUUACUUACUGUGCUUAACUUACUUACUGGGGGUAACUUGCUUACUGUAACUUAAGUACGUUAAUCUGGUGUAAACAACUUUAACUUCAGAAAAGUAUAUAAUGAAACACAUUGCAGAAAUAAAAUUGCUGCAUGAGCAUAGCGCAUGUAGCCCUCCAGA